rnacentral:rRNA from 1 species
CCUACGGGAGGCAGCAGUGGGGAAUAUUGCACAAUGGGGGAAACCCUGAUGCAGCGACGCCGCGUGAGUGAAGAAGUAAUUCGUUAUGUAAAGCUCUAUCAGCAGGGAAGAAAAUGACGGUACCUGAGUAAGAAGCCCCGGCUAACUACGUGCCAGCCGCCGCGGUCAUACGUAGGGGGCAAGCGUUAUCCGGAUUUACUGGGUGUAAAGGGAGCGUAGACGGCAGUGCAAGUCUGGAGUGAAAGGCGGCGGCUCAACCGCGGGACUGCUCUGGAAACUGUACGGCUGGAGUGCAGGAGAGGUAAGUGGAAUUCCUAGGGUAGCGGUGAAAUGCGUAGAUAUUAGGAGGAACACCAGUGGCGAAGGCGGCUUACUGGACUGUAACUGACGUUGAGGCUCGAAAGCGUGGGGAGCAAACAGGAUUAGAUACCCGAGUAGUC